rnacentral:tRNA from 1 species
GCAUGCGUGUUGGAAUGGUAUACAAGGCAGGUUUAGAACCUGUUGCCUUCGGGAUUAAGGGUUCAAAUCCCUUCGCAUGCACCA